GUCUUCGUGGUGUAGUGGUCAGCACGCUCGGCGCGGGUUCGAGAGGUCCAUGGUUCGAGUCCCGGUGAGGACA
rnacentral:tRNA from 1 species